rnacentral:tRNA from 1 species
GCUGGAGUAGCUCAGUUGGUAGAGCACGUCACUCGUAAUGACGGGGUCCGGGGUUCGACUCCCCGCUCCAGCUCCA